rnacentral:rRNA from 1 species
UACGUAGGGGGCAAGCGUUGUUCGGAAUUACUGGGCGUAAAGCGCGCGUAGGCGGUUUGGAAAGUCAGAUGUGAAAGCCCCGGGCUCAACUUGGGAACUGCAUUUGAUACUGCCAGACUAGAGUACAGAAGAGGUGACUGGAAUUCCCAGUGUAGCGGUGAAAUGCGUAGAUAUUGGGAGGAACACCAGAUGCGAAGGCGGGUCACUGGGCUGAUACUGACGCUGAUGCGCGAAAGCCAGGGGAGCGAACGGG